rnacentral:rRNA from 1 species
CACAGAGUUAGCCGGGGCUUCUUGGUCAGGUACUGUCAUUUUCUUCCCUGCUGAUAGAGCUUUACAUACCGAAAUACUUCUUCACUCACGCGGCGUCGCUGCAUCAGGGUUUCCCCCAUUGUGCAAUAUCCCCCACUGCUGCCUCCCGUAGGAGUUUGGGCCGUGUCUCAGUCCCAAUGUGGCCGUCCGCCCUCUCAGGCCGGCUACUGAUCGUCGCUUUGGUAGGCCGUUACCCUGCCAACUGGCUAAUCAGACGCGGGUCCAUCAUAUACCACCGGAGUUUUUCACACCGGGGCAUGCGCCCUGUGCGCUUAUGCGGUAUUAGCACCUAUUUCUAAGUGUUAUCCCCCUGUAUAUGGCAGGUUACCCACGCGUUACUCACCCGUCCGCCACUAGGGCGUGAAAGUUGAAGUCUAGUAAACUAUCCCUCUCGCACAUCACGCCCCGUUCGACUUGCAUGUGUAGCACGCCGCCAGCGUUCAUCCUGAGCCAGGA